rnacentral:rRNA from 1 species
AUUGAACGCUGGCGGCAUGCCUUACACAUGCAAGUCGAACGGCAGCAUGGGUGCUUGCACCUGAUGGCGAGUGGCGAACGGGUGAGUAAUACAUCGGAACGUGCCUUAUUGUGGGGGAUAACGCAGCGAAAGCUGUGCUAAUACCGCAUACGCCCUGAGGGGGAAAGGGGGGGAUCGUAAGACCUCGCGCAAUUAGAGCGGCCGAUGCCUGAUUAGCUAGUUGGUGGGGUAAAAGCUCACCAAGGCGACGAUCAGUAGCUGGUCUGAGAGGACGUUCGGCCACACUGGGAGUGAGACACGGCACAGACUCCUACGGGAGGCAGCAGUGGGGAAUUUUGGACAAUGGGGGCAACCCUGAUCCAGCAAUGCCGCGUGAGUGAAGAAGGCCUUCGGGUUGUAAAGCUCUUUUAUCAGGGAAGAAACACCAGCUCUAACACAGUUUGGGAAUGACGGUACCUGAAGAAUAAGCACCGGCUAACUACGUGCCAGCAGCCGCAGUAAAAC